rnacentral:lncRNA from 1 species
ACACACAGCUAGCUCUUCAGGCCAGGCCCCCAGGGUUUCGUCCACCUCUCACCUUUGACGACGCGAGACGGGAUCUCACUGUGUUGCCCAGGCUGGUCUCGAACUGCUGGACUCAAGUCAUCCUCCCAUCUUGGCCUCCCAAAGUGCUGGAAUUACAGUGGACAACCUUCAAUGCACUGGUACUUUGUACCCUGACCUCUACUGUGAUGAACACUCAACUUGGGCAAGGAAGUGAAAUUCUCCAAAGCAAGGAGGAGGGUGCUCUGAAUAGAUGGACCCUGAUUCUACUUACAAAACUGUGGGAAGAAACCGGAGCUUCCUCCCUCUCUGAGACAACGGUGCCACUGAGACUGCGUGAGAUGCGACGUAAAUUCUCUGCACUGUACUGCUCAUCCUCCCCACACUCCCUGCUGAGGCCUCGGCAAGGUGUAGCCUUCAAACACACAGACACAUACAGGCAGACACAUAAUACCAGACUUAUGGUUUUCCCACAGACAGUAUCCUCAGGGUAUGGGAAAGAGUAGGGGAAGACUCAGUAGUAAUAGACACCUGAAUUAGAUGUAUUGGUAAGAUAGUGGCCAUGUAACAAUCUCCUCUAAUUCAAAAGAAGCCCAAUCAUAGACCUUAUUUUCUUCUGAUAGCCCCAUAUCACCAUGCCUCUGCCUUAUCAUCAUCCCUGUCACAUCUCUCCAUAAUUCCUUCCCCAACACACCACCCCAGGCCCAGCACCUUAGCACCUGAGGCUGCUACCUGAGAAGUACGCACUGUUCUGGCUUCAUGGAGACCAUGCUCCAUUUCUGCUGUUGAAGUCUUUGAGAGACCAGGAUCAUGGGCUGAGUGCAACCUCCUCCCCAUGCCAUCUGCAGAGCCUGAAGAGGAAAACACAAAUACAAGUUGAGGCCAUCUCUUCCCCUAGGGCCUAACCUCUAAGCCUAGCAGCACAAACUCAGGAGCUGUUGUUUCAUUUAAUAAUAAAUAUGCAUCCUUGAAUUCAACGGAGGAACAUGCUCCUGGAAUUUAGAAGCAAGAGGGGCUGGGCGCGGUGGCUCACACCUGUAAUCCCAGCACUUUGGGAGGCCAACACGGGCAGAUCACGAGGUCAGGAGAUCGAGACCACCCUGGCUAACAUGGUAAAACCCUGUCUCUACUAAAAAUACAAAAAAUUAGCCGGGCGUGGUGGCAGGCACCUGUAAUCCCAGCUACUCGGGAGGCUGAGGCAGGAGAAUGGCGUGAACCCGGGAGGCGUAGCUUGCAGUGAGCGGAGAUCACGCCACUGCACUCCAGCCCGGGUGACAGAGCGAGACUCCGUCUCAAAAAAAAAAAGAAACAAGAAUUUUAGAAUAUAGAUAGUUUACUGAGUGUCCCCAUCUUGCUUCAUUUCAUUUUUGUAAACAUAAUCAGCUUCUGUCAGACUUAGGCUCAAGACUUAUAGACAGAGGAAAGUAUCUAACACAGUGAGUUUUGUUUUCUAACACAGUGAUUUUCUAAAGUAUCUGUGGUGACAAAGGAAAUUAUCUCCAGUCUAGUUCAGAAUAGAAAUGAUCAUAAUAAUCAUCUAUCAAACCUCCUCAUUUUAUAUAACAGGAAAAUGAGUUCCAGGGUCUGAGAGUUUAGUAGUUUAACCAGGAUUAAAAUUAAAUCCUCUUGAUUUUCAGUACAGUACUCUUACCAUCUCACCUGGUGACCUCUUUUACUCUGAGAGCAGGAGCUCCUCAGGAAUGUUUUACAUAUGUAAUGCUCUUUUCCCCUUAGCUUCUCUCAAAUCAUUUAAAUUUCUAAACAACCACUAAAUGCUUACCUCUUUUCAAAAUCUUUCUAGAUUGUUCAGUUGCUCUAAACUGGAUUGGUGACUCCCAAGGGGCUAUCCCCAAUCCAACUAAUUAAGUUUUCCAUUCCAAAACUGUAUAUGCCCCUGACCUACAUUUGAUACAUAUGUCCAUGGCCAAUUCAUGUCUUGAUUUGAUGAUUUGAUUCUAAUAUAUAUAUAUAUAUCUGGCUGAAGCUGAUAUUAUUCAUGUAAGUAUUGUAAGACCAGUUAUUUUCAGUAUUCCUGGGUACUUAAAUGCAGUGCUUUCAAUACCACCUCAGAUUCAUCUGGGAACUUUUAAAAAUAUAGCUUCCUGGAUGUUACCACAGAGCUGAAUCAGAAGGUUUGUGGUUGGUGCCUGGGAAUUUUCAUUUUUGAAAGGUUCCCAAAAAGUCUAAGAAAAUAUCCUUGAACAUUAUUGGGGGAAAUGGGAAAUGUUACAGUCUUCCUAAAAAACAACCUGGUAAUCUCCAAUAAAAUAAAAAAUAUAUUUAUCCUGUUGCCCAACGAUUCUAAUCCUGAGAAGAAGAAGAAAAAAAUACCAGUUCAUAACAACAUAUAUAUGAGAAUAUUUUCUACUGACAUAAUUUAUAGUAGCCAAGAACUAGAAAUAAAGUAAUGCCCACCUAUAGAAGAAUAAAUACAUUAUGGUUUAAUACCAGAUAUUGUCCAGCCACUUAAAAAGAUUGAACUGAGUUAAACUAGAUGAUUUGAAGAAAUUUUAAUGAAACAUUGUUGCAUUAAAAGGAAAAAAAUCUGUAAAAUGAUAGACAAGCAUUUGUUUAUGUAUAUGUAGGUCUACAUAGGAUUGUAUAAACAGAAAAUACAGUGUAUGCACACUAGAUAAUUACCUGGGGAAGUAGGGACUGGCUGUGAGAGAAGAGACAGGAAAAUUGUCUAUAAUAAAAACAGCAUGUGUGUUAUGUUCUUAUUUCUAUAAAAUU